rnacentral:rRNA from 1 species
UACGGAGGGUGCAAACGUUGUCCGGAAUCACUGGGCGUAAAGAGCAUGUAGGUGGUUUGGUAAGUGGGUGAUUAAAGACCGAUGCUUAACAUCGGGAAUGUUGCCUAUACUGCCUGACUUGAAGAUGACAGGGGUAAGCGGAACUUUAGGUGUAGGAGUGAAAUCCGUAGAUAUCUAAAGGAACACCGAUGGCGAAGGCAGCUUACUGGGUCUUUCUUGACACUGAGAUGCGAAAGCGUGGGGAGCGAACGGG